UCUAAUUUUCUCUCUCCUAUUCACAAUUAAUUUUCUCUCUCCUUUCCUCAUUCUAACGUCUUCUCCUACAUUUAAUACUCCAAUAUCAGAUUUGAAUUUUGAAUUUUUGUCCAAAAUUUCAGUAAUCCCUCCUGAAGUUGAAAUCUCCUCCUUAAGUUGAAGUCAAUUUCAUCUAAAAUUCGUUAAACAAUGAACGAAUCGUCUACAUCUUUGAGGAUUACCAGAGGGUCUUUGGGAAAAUCAAAACAACUUAUACAAGAACAAACCAUGGAAGAGCUGAGAUCAAAGAAAAAAAAACGACCCUAUGGCAGUUCAACAAGUUAUUAAAAAUGCCAAAGCUAGAGGCAUUAAAAUUGUACAAGGUACAAGAAAGAGGAAAGUUGUACUAUUUGAAUCAGAGGAAAAUGAUUGUGAAGUCGGAUCUGAAGAACUUCAUAAUCAUUAGAUAGUGUCUUAAAACACAA